AUAUUCUGGUUUCUCUUCAGAUUGUAUAAAUCUUUCGCCUUUUACUAAGGAUUUCUGUGGAGAGGAACAAUUCUGAGAUUUUUUGGAAAAUAUUUAUUUAUUUAAAUUAGUUUCAAGUA
rfam:Pteropus alecto contig96224, whole genome shotgun sequence.